AGGAAGUAAGCUUGUGUGUGAGUUUGAUUAAUAAGGAAGUAAGCUUGUGUGUGAGUCUGCAGGGAAGUUGCCCAUUGUCGGCGUGGGAGGAGUGGCCAGCGGACGGGACGCGCUUGAUAAGAUCCUCGCGGGAGCGUCUCUCGUGCAGCUCUACACGGCUCUCGUGUACCAGGGUCCGCCGGUGGUCAACAGAAUCAAGAGAGAGCUGGACGACCUGUUGAAGGCACAAGGUUUUGCGUGUGUAGCAGAGGCAGUGGGUGCGGAUCAUCGAGCCACACCUGAACAACCACAGACCCACAACGAAUGAUCACAUGAUCAUAAUGCCUAACAUUCUGCGUUUACCACUGCGCAUUAAUGCCACAUUAUCCUGUACAUUACAUUAAUUUACAAAACUGGAACCACUCUGGAUUGUGUUUUAGAAAUGAUGUGCCUUGUCGGUGUUAUAAAUGUAAAAAUGUCACCAUUAUGUUAAAGGAAUAUAUGAAUUUGAAUAAAUGCUCACGAUUUGUAACAGUGAAGGUAAUGUUAACCGUUUAAAUCACGUAAUGCAUUAUAUUUCAUUACAUUUCUGAACAUUGUUGAUGAACAUCAUUUCCAAAGGAUGAGGCUUAUGCUGUUUGCUAUAUCUCUCUUAUUUCUAGACAUUGAAUCCAUCAUACGAACUCAGUCAGUUUCUGUGACUAACAUAAUUUUUUUAUCUGAAACUUUUCUAUAUUUAACUGUAAAUUGAAGAAGCCAUUCAAACUUUAAAGGUGCAGUGAUUUAUUCCUUGUGAUGGAGAUUCAAGUCAUAUCACUCUUCGUAAAAAAUAAAAAUGGAAUUUCAACAAUG